GAGUACGGCCACACCACCCUGAACACGGCUGAUCUUGUCUGAUCUUGGAAGCUAAGCAGGGUUGGGCCUGGCUAGUACUGAGAUGGGAGGAAUAAUUCUUGAAUUGUAUAAA
rnacentral:rRNA from 1 species